rnacentral:rRNA from 1 species
ACUGCUCAGUAACACGUAGUCAACAUGCCCAAAGGACGUGGAUAACCUCGGGAAACUGAGGAUAAACCGCGAUAGGCCAAGGUUUCUGGAAUGAGCCAUGGCCGAAAUCUACAUGGCCUUUGGAUUGGACUGCGGCCGAUCAGGCUGUUGGUGAGGUAAUGGCCACCAAACCUGUAACCGGUACGGGCUUUGAGAGAAGGAGCCCGGAGAUGGGCACUGAGACAAGGGCCCAGGCCCUAUGGGGCGCAGCAGGCGCGAAACCUCUGCAAUAGGCGAAAGCCUGACAGGGUUACUCUGAGUGAUGCCCGCUAAGGGUAUCUUUUGGCACCUCUAAAAAUGGUGCAGAAUAAGGGGUGGGCAAGUCUGGUGUCAGCCGCCGCGGUAAUACCAGCACCCCGAGUUGUCGGGACGAUUAUUGGGCCUAAAGCAUCCGUAGCCUGUUCUGCAAGUCCUCCGUUAAAUCCACCUGCUUAACGGAUGGGCUGCGGGGGAUACUGCAGAGCUAGGAGGCGGGAGAGGCAAACGGUACUCAGUGGGUAGGGGUAAAAUCCAUUGAUCUACUGAAGACCACCAGUGGCGAAGGCGGUUUGCCAGAACGCGCUCGACGGUGAGGGAUGAAAGCUGGGGGAGCAAACCGGAUUAGAUACCCGGGUAGUCCCAGCUGUAAACGAUGCAGACUCGGUGAUGGGUUGGCCUCGAGCCAACCCAGUGCCGCAGGGAAGCCGUUAAGUCUGCCGCCUGGGGAGUACGGUCGCAAGACUGAAACUUAAAGGAAUUGGCGGGGGAGCAC